CUUGGAUCAACAAUCACUUCAGUUUCUGCAACCCUGCCACCAGCAGGAGCGUAACUUAAGUUAGGUGCAUAAGACUCAAUCUUGGCUUGCCUUCGUAGAGCAGCGUUGAUCUGGCGGAGCUGUUCAUUCAACCGCUGCAAUUCUGCUUUUCGCUGACGCGCAACUAGUCCUCCAACAGUGGCCCCAAUAAGCGCAACAAGCAGCAGUAUGGGCAUGUUGAAGAGCAUGUUGAAGGGAGAAUUAUCAACUUCACAUGUUUCAGCCAAGGCAUCUAAGGGUGAAG
rnacentral:misc_RNA from 1 species